rnacentral:tRNA from 1 species
GCCCAAAUGGCGGAAUUGGUAGACGCGCUCGUUUCAGGUGCGAGUGUUGAGAGACGUGCAGGUUCGAGUCCUGUUUUGGGCA